GCACCGUUAUAGGAUGUCUGCUGUCAUGUACCGUUCUUAUACCAGUUUUCUACAUGAGCAGCAGAUCGUCCGAGCCUCUCUUAUUCUCGUCGGUCAAUGCAAUGGCAGAUUCCCAAAAGCACUGGCAUGAGCGCUAUACGCACAAUGCAGAUCAUAGCAAACCAAUCGGAAGAUUUGUCCUAGAUCAGCAGACAUUGAUUG